GAACUUAUUCACAUCCUUGCAGGUAUUUAUGAGGUAAAGAAGUGAGGUGAUAUAAGACAUGGGGAAAGGAGGGUAGAGAUCAGUCAGUCAGUCUUUGUGGCUCUUCCUGGGAUGCAUGUUCAGACAAUGGCAGCAUCUGCAUGAACUGAGGGCAGUUGUUGGCUUCCUGAAGGCCCAGCCAAAGAGGUGAUGCUACCAGGCAUUCGAUGCACUUGGGGCAGGAGCAUCGUGGCUCCAAGGCAAGCUUGGAGACCCAGCUUAAGUGCCACCUCCCCCAGGGAGCUGCUUCUUCCUGCUCUCCAGUGACCUGCACAGUUCCAGCAGAGUGAGUUCAAGUCCUACCC
rnacentral:lncRNA from 1 species